CCUACGGGGGGCAGCAGUGAGGAAUAUUGGUCAAUGGACGAGAGUCUGAACCAGCCAAGUAGCGUGAAGGAUGACUACCCUAUGGGUUGUAAACUUCUUUUAUAUGGGAAUAAAACGUUCCACGUGUGGGAUUUUGUAUGUACCAUAUGAAUAAGGAUCGGCUAACUCCGUGCCAGCAGCCGCGGUAAUACGGAGGAUCCGAGCGUUAUCCGGAUUUAUUGGGUUUAAAGGGAGCGUAGGUGGAUUGUUAAGUCAGUUGUGAAAGUUUGCGGCUCAACCGUAAAAUUGCAGUUGAAACUGGCAGUCUUGAGUACAGUAGAGGUGGGCGGAAUUCGUGGUGUAGCGGUGAAAUGCUUAGAUAUCACGAAGAACUCCGAUUGCGAAGGCAGUUCACUGGACUGCAACUGACACUGAGGCUCGAAAGUGUGGGUAUCAAACAGGAUUAGAUACCCCGGUAGUC
rnacentral:rRNA from 1 species